rnacentral:rRNA from 1 species
AUUGAACGCUGGCGGCAGGCCUAACACAUGCAAGUCGAACGGUAACAGGAAGCAGCUUGCUGCUUCGCUGACGAGUGGCGGACGGGUGAGUAAUGUCUGGGAAGCUGCCUGAUGGAGGGGGAUAACUACUGGAAACGGUAGCUAAUACCGCAUAAUGUCGCAAGACCAAAGAGGGGGACCUUCGGGCCGCUUGCCAUCGGAUGUGCCCAGAUGGGAUGAGCUUGUUGGUGGGGUAACGGCUCACCAAGGCGACGAUCCCUAGCUGGUCUGAGAGGAUGACCAGCCACACUGGAACUGAGACACGGUCCAGACUCCUAAGAGAGGCAGCAGUGGGGAAUAUUGCACAAUGGGCGCAAGCCUGAUGCAGCCAUGCCGCGUGUAUGAAGAAGGCCUUCGGGUUGUAAAGUACUUUCAGCGGGGAGGAAGGGAGUAAAGUUAAUACCUUUGCUCAUUGACGUUACCCGCAGAAGAAGCACCGGCUAACUCCGUG